rnacentral:tRNA from 1 species
AGCCUCGUAGCUCAAUUGGCUAGAGCAUUGGCUGUACUAAACCCUUUCCCUUGCUGACGUAGUUUCGAAUCCCACCGAGGCCG